rnacentral:rRNA from 1 species
AGAUUGCAUGUGCGAAGCACGACAAGGUUAAUCCGAGUGAUUUCUGCUAAGGAAAUCUUUUGCCAGUCGUAAAACCGCUGGUGAAUAAGGGGUGGGCAAGUUCUGGUGUCAGCCGCCGCGGUAAAACA